rnacentral:rRNA from 1 species
GCAUAUCAAUAAGCGGAGGAAAAGAAACCAACAGGGAUUGCCUCAGUAACGGCGAGUGAAGCGGCAACAGCUCAAAUUUGAAAUCUGGCCUCUUUGGGGUCCGAGUUGUAAUUUGUAGAGGAUGUUUCGGGUACCGCCUCGGUUUAAAUUUCUUGGAACAGAAUGUCAGAGAGGGUGAGAAUCCCGUCUUGGACCGGCGGUAGGGCCCAUGUGAAACUCCUUCGACGAGUCGAGUUGUUUGGGAAUGCAGCUCAAAAUGGGUGGUAAAUUUCAUCUAAAGCUAAAUAUUGGCCAGAGACCGAUAGCGCACAAGUAGAGUGAUCGAAAGAUGAAAAGAACUUUGAAAAGAGAGUUAAACAGUAUGUGAAAUUGUUGAAAGGGAAGCGCUUGCAACCAGACUUGAGCGCGGCGGUUCCCCCUUCCUUUUGGUUGGGUUACUCCGCCGUGUCCAGGCCAACAUCGGUUCUGGGGGUCGGUUAAAGGCCCGGGGAAUGUACCUACUCCUUCGGGGGUAGACUUAUAGCCCCGGGUGUCAUGCGACCACCCGGGACCGAGGAACGCGCUUCGGCUCGGAUGUUGGCGUAAUGGUUGUCAGCGACCCGUCUUGAAACACGGACC